rnacentral:tRNA from 1 species
GGGGAUUUAGCUCAGCAGUAUAAGUGCCUGCCUUGCAAGCAGGCAGUCUUGAGUUCAAUCCCUG